CCUACGGGAGGCAGCAGUGAGGAAUAUUGGUCAAUGGACGCAAGUCUGAACCAGCCAAGCCGCGUGCAGGAUGACGGCUCUAUGAGUUGUAAACUUCUUUUGUACAGGGGUAAACCUGAAUACGUGUAUUCAUCUGAAUGUACUGUACGAAUAAGGAUCGGCUAACUCCGUGCCAGCAGCCGCGGUAAUACGGAGGAUCCAAGCGUUAUCCGGAUUUAUUGGGUUUAAAGGGUGCGUAGGCGGAUUGAUAAGUUAGAUGUGAAAUGUUCGGGCUAAACUCGGGAACUGCCUCUGAUACUGUUAUUCUAGAGUGUAGAAGAGGUAGGCGGAAUGCGUGGUGUAGCGGUGAAAUGCUUAGAGAUCAUGAAGAACACCGAUUGCGAAGGCAGCUUGCCAGACUAUAACUGACGCUGAGGCUCGAAAGCGUGGGGAGCAAACAGGAUUAGAUACCCGAGUAGUC
rnacentral:rRNA from 1 species